ACUCCUACGGGAGGCAGCAGUGGGAAUCUUGCGCAAUGGGCGAAAGCCUGACGCAGCAACGCCGCGUGCGGGAUGAAGGCCCUCGGGUCGUAAACCGCUUUCAGUAGGGACGAAAUUGACGGUACCUACAGAAGAAGCCCCGGCCAACUACGUGCCAGCAGCCGCGGUAACACGUAGGGGCGGAGCGUUGUUCCGGCAGUUUAUUGGGCGUAAAGAGCUCGUAGGCGGCUCGGUAAGUCGGGUGUGAAAACUCUGGGCUCAACCCAGAGACGCCACCGAUACCUGCUGUGGCUUGAGUCCGGUAGGGAGCGGUGGAAUUCCUGGUGUAGCGGUGAAAUGCGCAGAUAUCAGGAGGAACACCAGCGGCGAAGGCGGCGCUCUGGGCCGGAACUGACGCUGAGGAGCGAAAGCGUGGGUAGCAAACAGGAUUAGAUACCCUGGUAGGCUCUGCU
rnacentral:rRNA from 1 species